GGGGGGGGGGGGGGGGGGGGGGGGGCGUGGGGGUGGGGCGGGCGGGGGAGGGGCGGGCUGCGCGGGGGUUGGGGGCGGGCGGGGGGGUGACGCGUGGAUCCCCUACCUAUACGGCGGGGAUAACUUCGGGGCACCGGAGCUACUCCCGGAGCCUAUCUUCACCCGCCUGGUGAGCUGGUGAACGACGUUUUUGCUGUCACUUCUAGAUGUAUCCGCGCCGCAUUAGCUAGUUGGUAAGGUAACGUAUUACCAAGUCAACGAUGCGUCGACGACCUAAGAGGGUGAUCGGCAACACGGGAACUGAGAAACGGUCAAGAAUCCUAAGGGAGGCAGCAGUAGGGAAUCUUCCGCAAUGGGCGAAAGCCUGACGGAGCAACGCCGCGUGAGUGAUGAAGGUCUUCGGAUCGUAAAACUCUGUUAUGAGGGAAGAACAAAUGUGUAAGUAACUAUGCACGUCUUGACGGGACCUAAUCAGAAAGACACGGCUAACGAAGUG
rnacentral:rRNA from 1 species